GGCGGCCCGGCGCGGGGCUCUCAUAGUGCUGGAGGGCGUGGACCGCGCGGGGAAGAGCACGCAGAGCCGCAAGCUGGUGGAAGCGCUGUGCGCCGCGGGCCACCGCGCCGAACUGCUCCGGUUCCCGGAAAGAUCAACUGAAAUUGGCAAACUUCUGAGUUCCUACUUGCAAAAGAAAAGUGACGUGGAGGAUCACUCGGUGCACCUGCUUUUUUCUGCAAAUCGCUGGGAACAAGUGUAAAAACCAUUGCACAUUGCUGCCUCUGCCCUUGCCACUUCUCUUCCUCCUGAGAUUCAGUGAAUGCCGCACUUGAUUCUGAAUGACAGUGACAGUAAUGCUGGGGCCUGAGGUUCUUUUAUUUAGCAGUCCUGUGAGCAGAGGUGGUGAAGCGCCCUAGUUCCCAAAGGGCGCUAAUGAAUGCUGUUUCGUCCUUCUGCUCCCCACACCCCAUAACUAAUAGACUUCAGUUUUUCGGGGUUUUUUAGACGGAGUUCCGCUCUGUUGCCAGGUGGAGGUGCGAUCUCGGCUCACUGCAACCUCCGCCUCCCAGGUUCAAGCGAUUCUCCUGCGUCAGCCUCCCGAGUAACUGGGACUACAGGCACACACCAGCAUGCUCAGCUAAUUUUUGUAAUUUUAAUUUACUUUAUUUUUUAAUUUAAUUUUUGUAUUUUUAGUACAGACAGGGUUUCACUGUUGGCCAGGAUGGUCUCUGUUGACCUUGUGAUCCACUCCCCUCGGCCUCCCAAAGUUCUGGGAUUACAGCAGGUGUGAGCCACCGCACCUGGCUCCCCCCCGCUUUUUUUUUUAUUUUGAAGACAAGGUAUUGCUCUGUGGCCCAGGCUGGAGUGCAGUGGCACACGAUCAUGGCUCACUGCAGCCUCAACUUCCUAGGCUCAA
rnacentral:sRNA from 1 species